rnacentral:lncRNA from 1 species
UUGAUAUUCCUUCACCCUGUUCUCUUUGAGCAUAUCUCCUAGUAACCGGUGAUAUGUCUCCUGGAUCGUUACCUUUGUCAAUGUAUCCCCAGUGAGUCAUCUCUCAUUUACCCUUUAUUGGUAAUGAUUGUUUCUCCCCUUGGAUUAGUCAUCACUAUGUACCUAGUAUUCGGUAUCCCGAUGUCUUUUAUUUACGGUCGAUUUAUCC